UACGUAGGGUGCAAGCGUUAAUCGGAAUUACUGGGCGUAAAGCGUGCGCAGGCGGUUGUGCAAGACCGAUGUGAAAUCCCCGGGCUUAACCUGGGAAUGGCAUUGGUGACUGCACGGCUAGAGUGUGUCAGAGGGGGGUAGAAUUCCACGUGUAGCAGUGAAAUGCGUAGAGAUGUGGAGGAAUACCGAUGGCGAAGGCAGCCCCCUGGGAUAACACUGACGCUCAUGCACGAAAGCGUGGGGAGCAACAGG
rnacentral:rRNA from 1 species